GUCGGAUCCAAUCGCUGUCAGACAGAUCCGCUGCAGCGCGCCGGCUGGCCGCCUUCCGCAGCCUCGCCGCAUCCUGCAUCGACCGGAGAAACCCCUUCGUGCUCCCAUCUUCCUCCCCCUACACCAGCGUUGGUGUUUUGGUGCCUCCCCCGUGCAACUCCGUUGUUGCCACAAUGAAGUUCAGCUGGCUCACUGUUGUAGCACGUCACCAGCGGUGCACACUCUGCACGCAUGUUGUCCACUUGGCGAUUGUGCAUUUCGGUGUUUACAUGCAGGUCAACGCGAGAGACGUGCAGUUCAAUUCACGGCUAUGUUUUAUUUUUUGAAAUUUUUGUGUCACUGUAAUCAUGGAUUACUCGCAGGUCAUAAGUUUGGUGCGGCGAGCUCUUAUAGUUCGGGGCGGCACUGGCCGAUGGAGCGCCACCACACCUGCGCCACCCCUUCAACCUCCUCCAGGGCCGCCUGGCCCUGAUCCGCCUAGUUGCCUCUGUCCUACCUCAAUCUAGAUCAGGAUCUAGUGCCUCGGUAGCUGCCGGCCGAGCUUCUUCUUCCUCGCCGGUGAGCUCCUUCUCCCUCUCCCAGCAGAUAGGGGAGUCGCUGAUCAACACACUUCCUGGUGGUGUCCUAUGGCAAGCGCGCUUGUAGUGCAGUCUGGUGGCGAGCACACUUGCAGUGCAGUCCGGCAAAAAUUUAUGUGGUUCGCUCCGUAAAAAUGAAUGUGUAUGAAGAAACACUUAUGCAGUCCUUUCUCGUGAGCGGGGAAGCCGAUGCCAUGACCAUGCAGUCCCAACGCGAUGUGUAAUGUGUAGCAUGCAAACAAAAAAUGUAGUCUGCUCGCCUCGUCCCCGCAGUGCAUAUUUCAUUUUUAAACCAAAAAUAUAUAUAUGCAGUGCACUACGGGAAAAUCAAAACUCUGUAGAGAAAAAGAAAUAGAAAAAUGCAGUGCACUCCGGUCUUUAAAAAAGUCCGCUCCGAAGGACUUUGUAGUACACUUCAUUAAAAAAUGUAUUUGCAAAUGUUU
rnacentral:lncRNA from 1 species